UCUGUCCUUGCUGCAUUGGACAGAGUUGGAGUGGACUGGUCCCGCGCUGUCAGCCUGGCUACAGACGGCGCGCCAUCCAUGGUCGGAAAGAAAGCAGGUGUCGCGACAAAGUUCAAAGACAAAGUACAAGCCCUUAAUGGAGGAGAUCGUUUCUGGACAUUUCACUGUAUUUUGCACCAGGAGGCAUUGUGUUGCAAGUGCUGAAAAUGGACCACGUCAUGGAGGUGGUUGUUCGCACUGUAAAUUUCAUCCGGUCCAGAGGUCUGAACCAUCAGUUUGACAAACUUCUCAGCGACAGCAACAUUACCCACAGCCUGCCAUACCACACUGAAGUGAGAUGGUUAAGCCGAGGCGCUGUGCUGAGGCAUUUCUUUGAUCUACGAGAGGAAAUCGGACAGUUCAUGGAGAAAAAGGAAAACCGGUGUUGGAAUUACAAUCUCAGGAAUGGCUACGGGACCUUGCAUUCUUGGUUGAUAUUACUGAACACUUGAACAAUCUGAACAAAAUGUUGCAAGGCCGCAAAAAAGUUGUCACACAGUUUUCUGACAACAUACAUGCAUUUAAGUUGAAGCUGACUUUGUGGGAGAUGCAACUGGCAAAUGGCAACCCUGCUCAUUUCCCCUGUCUGAGAGAUGUGUGUGUGACCAGACCUGAUGCGGACAUGAAACGGUACAAAGACAAAAUUGCAGGACUACUGCGGGAGUUUGAGAAACGUUUUCAGGUAUUUGGUGAACUUGAGACAGAAUUUUCAGUUUUUCGCUCACCUUUCACAGUUAAAGCUUCUGAUCUGCCGGUCGAAAUUCAGCUAGAGAUAAUUGAUUUGCAGUGUGAUGCAGAUUUGAAGGGCAAAUUUGCCUCUGUAGGUCUGGACAGAUUUUAUCAGUAUCUACUACCAGGGUACCCCAAAUUAACAGCCCUGGCUGCUAAAAUUUUGUGCAUGUUUGGGACAACCUACCUUUGUGAACAAAUUUUCUCAGUGAUGAAUAUCAAUAAAACAAAAAUGCGUUCAAGGCUCACAAACAAGCACUUAAAUGACAUUCUGAAAGUGACAGCUAGUCAGGACAUGACACCUGGUGUUGAUGCACUUGUACAGGCCAAAAGAUGCCAAGUUUCAGGUACAAAUACAAGUCCAGACUAGACUAACACCUUUAAAAUGCUGCCUUAGAUACUGUUUGCAUUGAAAGAAUACAGCUCUGUGAAGAUGAAUCCUUACUGUGGUGAUUUAAAAAAUGUGCACUUUAAUGUUAGUCAGCAGCUUCAAAACAAAAGUUGUGUGAUGGAAUUCUACUGUUCAUACAACUCCAUAAAUUUUCAGUAUGUAUUGUAUGUGUAUGUAUGUUUCAUGUAUGAAGUUUAAUUUACAGGACAGGCGAACACUUUCUUCAUUACACAUUUAAAAUCACUCUCCUUAGUUUGUAAGGUGUACGCAGGGAUUACAUUUAGAUUUUAUAUGCGUAUGUGUAAGUGGUUUAAAAAUUCCUUUCUUUAAAAGUCUCAUUUAAUCUUAAAGUGCAUUACUAUAUUUUUCAGUACCAAUUAAAGUUUUGUGCCUUUGUACAAUCAGUGGGAUCAGUUGCAAUGCAUAUUUGUGAAUGAUAAAAGUAAAUUGCACAUUUGUCUAAGGAAAUAUGAGGUGUUUCAUGAAAUGUUUUGUAAAAGGAUAGUUCAUUAAAUUUCAAUAUUUUCCUAAUGUUCUUGUGCUUCUUUACACCAAAACAAAGGAAAGACAUGAUAUUUUGGUUAUUUAUAGCAGAGUAUGGUAUAAUUUUAAUGGUCUGGCCCACUUGACAUCUCCCUAGGCCGUAUGUGGCCCACGAUGCGAAAUGAGUUUGACACCCCUGCCCUAGACCCACUUCAAUUUGCUUACCACCCCGAUAGAUCCAAAGAAGAUGCAUUCGCCAUCGCACUGCCCUAUCCAUUCUGGACAAGAGGAAUACCUAUGUAAGAAUGCUGUUCAUGAACUAUAGCUUAGCAUUCAAAACCAUAGUACCCUCAAAGGUCAUCAUUAAGCUCAAGGCCCUGGGUCUGAACCCCGCCCUGUGCAACCGGGUCCUGGACUUCCUGACGGGCCGCUCCCAGUUGGUGAAGGUAGGAAACAACUCCUUCACCUCGCUAAUCCUCAACUCUGGGGCUCCACAAGGAUGCGUACUCAGCCCCCUCUUGUACUCCCUGUUCACCCAUGACUGCGUGGCCACGCACACCUCCAACUCUAUCAUCAAGUUUGCAGAUGACACAACAUUAGUAGACCUGAUUACCAACAAUGACGAGACAUUGUACAGGGAGGAGGUGAGGGCCCUGGGAGUGUGGUGCCAGGAAAAUAACCUCUCACCCAACGUCAACAAAACAAAGGAGCUGAUUGUGGACUUCAGGAAACAGCAGAGGUAGCACCUCCCUAUCCACAUCUACGGGACCACAGUGAGAAUGUGGAAAGCUUUGAGUUCCUCGGCGUACACAUCACUGACAAACUGAAAUUGUCCACCCACACAGACAGUGUGGUGAAGAAGGCGCAACAGCACCUCUUCAACAUCAGGAGGCUGAAGAAAUUUGUCUUGGCACCUAAAACCCUCACAAACUUUUACAGAUGCACAACUGAGAGCAUCCUGUCAGGCUGUAUCACUGUCUGGUAUGGCAACUGCACCGCCCACAACUGCAGGGCUCUCCAGAAGGUGGUGCGGUCUGCCUAACGCAUCACCGGGGGCAAAUUACCUGCCCUCCAGGACACCUACACCACCCGAUGUCCCAGGAAGGACAAAAAGAUAAUCGAGGACAAAAACCACCCUAGCCACUGCCUGUUCACCCCGCUAUCAUCCAGAAGGCGAGGUCAGUACAGAUGCAUCAAAGCUGGGGCCGAGAGACUGAAAAACAGCUUUUAUCUCAAGGCCUCAAAUAGCCAUCACUUGCACAUUAGAGGCUGCUGCCCUAUAUACAUAGACCUGAAAUCACUGGCCGCUUUAAUAAUGGUACACUAGUCACUUUAAUAAUGUUUACAUAUACAUUACUCAUCUCAUAUGAAUAUACUGCAUUAUAUCCUAUUCUACUGUAUCUUAGUCUAUGUCGCUCUGACAUUGCUCCAUUCCUUUACUUUAGAUUUGUGUGUAUUGUUCUGAAAUGGUUAGAUAUUAUUUGUUAGAUAUUACUGCACUGUUGAAGCGAGAAACACAAGACCUCUGAGAUGCAUCUGCUAAACACGUGUAUGUGUCAAAUUAAAUUGGAUUUGAUUUGUCUGGAGAUCUCUAAAGGGCGAGGUCUGUGUGGGGGACAGCAGGCGUGUUAAGGUUGGAUAGCUCUAAUUUUGUAUUUAUUUAUUUAACCUUUAUUUAACUAGGCAAAUCAGUUAAGAACAAUUUCUUAUUUACAAUGACGGCCUACACUGGCCAAACCCGGACGACUCUGGGCCAAUUGUGCGCCGCCGUAUGUGACUCCCAAUCACAGCCAGUUGUGAUACAGUCUGGAAUCGAACUAGGUUGUCUGUAGUGACGCCUCAAGCACUGAGAUGCAGACCGCUGCGCCAACUCGGCAGCUCCUAAAGGGGGAGGUGUGUGUGUAUAAACUACUAUGUACUGUAUUUAGUAUGUAGAAGUAUAAUCACCUGAAUUGGUCUGUGUGUGUGUUUAAACUAUUAUGUACUGUAUUUAGUAUGUAGAAGUAUAAUCACGUGAAUUGGUCUGUGUGUGUGUGUGUGUGUGUUUAGCUCUAGCCAGGUGUGUUCUGGGGUGUGUGUGUGUUAACCCAGGGAGACACGUGCAGGCACAGCCCUCCUGUUGAUUCAGAGGGAGCAGCAGCACCAUCGGCAGGCUGGGGAAAUAGGUCUGCAGCAUGAAGAAGAAGAAGUGUCUCCUCAGGAUGAAGUUUAUUAACAAGCUGUUACACCAACCUGGAGAGAGACAGAAAGGAAAGGUGACGGAGAGAGACAGAAAGGAAAGGUGAUGGAGAGAAACAGAAAGGAAAGGUGAUGAGAGAGACAGAAAGGAAAGGUGACGGAGAGAGACAGAAAGGAAAGGUGACGGAGAGAGACAGAAAGGAAAGGUGACGGAGAGAGACAGAAAGGAAAGGUGACGGAGAGAGACAGAAAGGAAAGGUGACGGAGAGAGACAGAAAGGAAAGGUGACGGAGAGAGACAGAAAGGAAAGGUGACGGAGAGAGACAGAAAGGAAAGGUGACGGAGAGAGACAGAAAGGAAAGGUGAUGGAGAGAAACAGAAAGGAAAGGUGAUGGAGAGAAACAGAAAGGAAAGGUGAUGGAGAGAAACAGAAAGGAAAGGUGAUGGAGAGAGACAGAAAGGAAAGGUGAUGGAGAGAGACAGAAAGGAAAGGUGAUGAGAGAGACAGAAAGGAAAGGUGAUGAGAGAGACGGAAAGGAAAGGUGAUGAGAGAGACAGAAAGGAAAGGUGAUGGAGAGAGACAGAAAGGAAAGGUGAUGGAGAGAGACAGAAAGGAAAGGUGAUGAGAGAGACAGAAAGGAAAGGUGAUGGAGAGAGACAGAAAGGAAAGGUGAUGAGAGAGACAGAAAGGAAAGGUGAUGAGAGAGACAGAAAGGAAAGGUGAUGAGAGAGACAGAAAGGAAAGGUGAUGAGAGAGACAGAAAGGAAAGGUGAUGAGAGAGACAGAAAGGAAAGGUGAUGAGAGAGACAGAAAGGAAAGGUGAUGAGAGAGACAGAAAGGAAAGGUGAUGAGAGAGACAGAAAGGAAAGGUGAUGAGAGAGACAGAAAGGAAAGGUGAUGAGAGAGACAGAAAGGAAAGGUGAUGAGAGAGACAGAAAGGAAAGGUGAUGGAGAGAGACAGAAAGGAAAGGUGAUGGAGAGAGACAGAAAGGAAAGGUGAUGGAGAGAGACAGAAAGGAAAGGUGAUGGAGAGAGACAGAAAGGAAAGGUGAUGGAGAAAGACAGAGGAAAUGUGAUGAGAGAGAGACAGAAAGGAAAGGUGAUGGAGAAAGACAGAGGAAAGGUGAUGAGAGAGACAGAAAGGAAAGGUGAUGGAGAGAGACAGAAAGUGAGAGGAUAAUGGGGGGAGAGAGUGGGAGAGAGAGAAAAGUUGAGGGUUUUCUUAAAGAAGCAGUACGUUAGCCUAAUAGUUACAAGAGACGAGACACACAAAGAACGCAAAACAGACACAUAUAAAUACUCAGACAGACCCGUGCUGCUGUAGAAGGCAAGGCCACUGGAAGGGUGGCACUUCUUGAUGAACAACUGAGAGAGAACAAUCUCAUCUGUCCUCAGAGACUCGUUGCCAUUCUUCCAAAACAACAUCAGAUCAUUGUCAUUAUACGCUUCUCGAAAGGGGGAGAGAGAAAGUGUGGUGUGUAUUUGUGUAACCAAUCAAUCAGCAAUCAGAUGUUUAGUGUGGGUGAAUGUUUAUUUAUGUAAAUAUGUGUGUGCAUGUCUGUGUUAGUGCACGCACAUGAUGUGUGUGUGUGUGUGUGUGUGUGUGUGUGUGUGUGUGUGUGUGUGUGUGUGUGUGUGUGUGUGUGUC